ACAACGUGCGCAGACGUCGCUCCUCCGCACGGAUGUCCGCGGCCCGGGCCGGGGUGGGAAGGGGCUCCCCCACGCUCCCGCCCAGGUUUGGUCGCCAUCUUUCGGAGCGUCCUUUCCCGCGAGUGCUGCAGUCCCGGAUCUCAGGCGUCCGUUAGCUACAGAGGCCAAUUCCUAACCCGCGCGGCUCGAAUCCCGGGGGUCCCAUCGCCUGCCAGCCGAUUCGCCCAAGCCGGAGAUAGGGCCAGAUUUGAGUGUGUGAAUUUUUGAGUGAAACCUGGAACCCAAAUGAGAAGAAAUCUGCAAGGAAUAACUACUGACAGUGAAUCUGCGGUCAUCUGUAUGCAUAAUAUGGAAUGUUCUUAACCCAGAAGUAGCUGAAUGUGUUACUCCAUUGCUGAGGAGUGACUAUCUGUUAUAAUUCCUGGGUCAAGACAACAAUUUUUAUACCUUCGUCGUGG
rnacentral:sRNA from 1 species